GACAGAGGCCUCAAGCGUUAGGCGGAAUUACUGGGCGUAAAGCGCGCGUAGGCGGACCUGCAAGUCGGGGGUGAAAGCCCGAGGCUCAACCUCGGAACUGCCUUCGAUACUGCGGGUCUCGAGUCCGGGAGAGGUGAGUGGAAUUCCUAGUGUAGAGGUGAAAUUCGUAGAUAUUAGGAAGAACACCAGUGGCGAAGGCGGCUCACUGGCCCGGUACUGACGCUGAGGCGCGAAAGCGUGGGGAGCAAACAGG
rnacentral:rRNA from 1 species